AUGGCUGACGCCACCUCGUCACACCGCGCUAAAUCGCCGCCGCUUUGUCGUUUCGCCUCCGCGUUGCCCUUGCCUCGCCCACAUGGCCUUUGCUUUUGCCGGCUCCGGUUCAGCCGCGCGUCGUCCGCAGCCAGGCCGAAUCACUGCCGGAUUCCAUCUGCUCCCAUGAGUCGCCGCCGGACUACGUCCGCGUCUGCGCCGUCCCGCAACGGCCCAGUGCGCUGCCUCGCCUCACGUGUUCCCCAGUCGGCCAUCGCCCCUCUUCGACCGCGUAGGCUGCGACUCGCGACGCCGCACCUUUGGCUGCCGCCCCAACCGUGCGGGCUGCAACUCACGCCGCUGCACCUUGGACUCGCCUCCUCCGUCGCCGAAGUCGCCGCGUCCGAGAGGCCUCACCUCGCCGCUACCUCGCACUGCCGUGGCCGCGUCCUGCUCCUGGGCCGCCUCCGCCAGGGGCUUCCUCGGCUGCAGCCGGGCCGAGUCACCGGCCUUGCCGCCCUCUCCGCCAUGGUGGACCGCCUCGGCGUGCCCCCCGUGAGCAGACCGCGCCUCGCCUGGCCGGUGCCCCUCCACCGACGUGCCCCGGUUUUGCCGGCCUCGCCAUCCACUGCGGUCGACCGCACCGGCGUGGCCUUGAAUCGCUACCUUCGACUAACCGCCAUCCCAGGCCUCGGGCUGCCAGGGGCCUCCUGCCGUCGCAGCAAGCCUGCCGGCCGGCCCUGUUGCCUCAUUGCCAGAGCCACCGUCCAGAUCACCCCGGCCUCAAGAUCGCCGACGCCAAGUCGCCAAAAUUGCUGUCGCCUUCUACCUCGUGAUGCCCCGAAUCACCUUGCGCCACUUCAGCCGUGCUCUUCCAUGAACCGCCAUCAUCGGUUCACCUCAGCUCGAGCGGUUGCCGGGUCACCACGGGCUCCGGUUUACCACCCGCACCAGCGCCCUGGCUCCUUUCUCACUGUGCAUCAAAACGGGCGCAAGUCACCACCGCUACCUCCGCCGUGGUUCACCGUGGCCAGAGCAGCUCUGGCUCGGAGUCCCUCCGUCUCUGUCUUGAACCGGGUCCGCCUUCGAGCUGGCCGCCCUCUGCCGUCGCGGCCUCGUCCGCUCCUCUGCCAUCGCCGGUUCGCCGUCCUCUGCCGUCGCGGCCUCGGCCUUGCUCUGAAUCGUCAGGAGGGUCUCGCUCCGAGUGGCUCCAAGCCGCCGUCGCUGGCUCGCCUUCGCUGUCAGGACCAUCCCUGCAGCCGCGCCAACACUGCAUGCCGGUCCCGACUGGGUUAUGCCUCUGUUUAUGUUUGUGGACAAGGGAUGUUUCUGUUGUGGCCUUGCCUUCGUGACCGGUUUUGCUGCGUGUUACUUCCGCUCUAA
rnacentral:rRNA from 1 species